GACGAACCGUGCGAACGUUGUUCGGAAUCACUGGGCUUAAAGGGCGCGUAGGCGGCUGUUCAAGUCCGGGGUGAAAGCCCCCAGCUCAACUGGGGAAGUGCCUCGGAUACUGGAUGGCUCGAGGGAGGUAGGGGCAGGGGGAACUUCUGGUGGAGCGGUGAAAUGCGUUGAUAUCAGAAGGAACGCCGGUGGCGAAAGCGCCCUGCUGGAUCUCUACUGACGCUGAGGCGCGAAAGCCAGGGGAGCGAACGGG
rnacentral:rRNA from 1 species